UACAGAGGUGGCAAGCGUUGCUCGGUAUCACUGGGCUUAAAGGGCGCGUAGGCGGUGCGGUACGGUUUCGGUGAAAUCCCUCGGCCCAACCGAGGAACAGCCGGGGCUACGGCCGCGCUAGACGGCAUCAGGGGACAGUGGAACUUCCGGUGGAGCGGUGAAAUGCGUAGAUAUCGGAAGGAACGCCGGUGGCGAAGGCGGCGACCUGGGUCGACACUGACGCUGAGGCGCGAAAGCGUGGGGAGCAAACAGG
rnacentral:rRNA from 1 species